rnacentral:lncRNA from 10 species
AAGACACCUGAGUUCGUAUGUUUAUCAUAGCACUAAUAGCAAUAGCAAAGUUAUAGAAUCAGCUUAAGUGUACAUCAAUGGUUGAAUGAAUAAAGAAAAUGUUGUAUAUAUACACCAUGGAAUAAUAUGCAGCCAUGAAAAAGAAUGAAAUCAUGUCCUUUGCAGCAACAUGGAUGGAGCUGCAGGCCAUUAUCCUACGUGAACUAACUCCAAAACAGAAAAUCAAAUAUCGCUCAUUCUAACUUAUAAGUGGGAGCUAACAACUAGGUGCACAUGAACGUAAUGAUGGAAACAAUACAUGCUGGGGACUCCAAAAGCAGGCAAGGUGGGAUAGACAUGAGGGUUGAAAAAUUGUCUGUUGGGUACAAUGGUAACUAUUUGGGUGAUGAGUACAACAGAACUCCAAACCCCCAUUAUGCAAAACAUCCAUGUAACAAAUCUGCACAUAUACUCCCUCAAUCUAAAAUAAAAUAAAAAUUUAUAAAGUAGAAAAAAUGAACUAAAUAAAUAAAUGCCACAGUUUGAGGGUGAUAAGAUGGACAGGUAUGCAUGUGUAGUGGAAAAAUGUGAGGGAGAUUGCUAUUUUAUAAAGGGAGGUCAAGAAAACUCCCUAGUCAUGUGACCUUUGAGCAAAGACCUGUAAAAAGUGAAUUUUGUGGAUAGAUAUGUGAUUGAUUGUAUAUUGACCAAGAUGAUCUUGACUUCCCUUCAUCUUGACUUAACUUUAGACAGGUUUUUUUAUGAGUAUGGGCCCUUGACCUCCCUUUUCUUUGAGCAUUUCCUUUAGAAAUUUUGCAAUCUUAAAUACCUUCUCUGUUUCUUUGAAAUGUAAAUUUUCUACAACCAAGGAAUGUCUCUCCAAAAGACCUGGAAACCUUUUCUUUUAAAUGUAAUAAGCUAGAAACACAGGGCCCUUAUCUCCCAGUCUCUGUGAAAGGGAAGGGGGGCAAUAAAUGACAAUUAGCAAACACAGAUGGUCUAUUGGCAUUGACCAACCUCCUGGCUAACUUUCUCCAGUACUUUUGCACUAUCUCACCUCUGAGCUUAAAAUCUCUCCUACUUUUUGUUUCAACCUAUCUCUCCUUUUGCAAUGGACUCGAUCCUUAUUGCAAUAAUUUUGAGUAAAGUUUUUCUUUUUCUUUUUUGGAGAUGGGGCCUAGCUCUGAACCCAGGCUGGAAGGCAGUGCCAUGAACAUGAAUACUAUAGCCUCAACCUCCCUCCCAUCACAGCCUCCCAAGUAUCUGGCACCACAGGUGAAUGCCACCAUGCCUGGCUAGUUUGUUUUUUCUCUUUCUUUCUGAAGAGACAGGGUCCCACUCUGUUGCCCAGGCUGCUCUUGAACUUCUGGGCUCAAGUGAUACUCCCACCUCAGCCUCCCAAAGUUCUGGGACCAAAUAGUUUUCCUUGCCUGAUGAAUCACUCCAGAGCAUUUUUUUCCUUCACAGUUUAGAGUAUGAGAGAAAGAGAAAAGUGAAAAUGGCCCCAAGAAAUUUGACUUGAGCAAUUUAAAGGAAGUCGUUGUCACUGAUUCGGAAAAACAAAAUCGUUUUGGAAGGAAGAAGAAAAUAAAUGAAAAUUUGCCAGUCCUGGGUGGGGCAAAUCCUCGAGCUUGAUGUGUAGAGAAGGGAAGGGGCCUGAAGAAUACCUGAGGAGUAGUAGAAUAGCAGAUGGAACACUGAGAAGUUAUUUCCUUGAGGAUAGAUUUCUACUAUGGAAAGGAAAUGAGAGGUUCUAAGAGGCGGGCUAGUGGCUUGUGCUAUAGUAUAACCUGCCUUUACUGGUGUGUGGCGAUUAGGCCUGGGUGGAACCGCCAUCAAUAAAUCAAGCAUGAUCAGGGUGAGGAACAGAAAAGAAGGAAAUUUGGGGAAAUGGGGUGAAUGUCAGGUGGAUCAGAGGGAUACAGUCAUGGGGGUCAGGUGUGGUAUCAGGAAUAAUGUGGGAGGCCGGAUUGAAGUCUGGGCCAGGAA